UACGAAGGGGGCUAGCGUUGCUCGGAAUCACUGGGCGUAAAGGGUGCGUAGGCGGGUCUUUAAGUCAGGGGUGAAAUCCUGGAGCUCAACUCCAGAACUGCCUUUGAUACUGAGGAUCUUGAGUUCGGGAGAGGUGAGUGGAACUGCGAGUGUAGAGGUGAAAUUCGUAGAUAUUCGGAAGAACACCAGUGGCGAAGGCGACUACCUGGCCUGUUCUUGACGCUGAGGCGCGAAAGCUAGGGGAGCAAACGGG
rnacentral:rRNA from 1 species